rnacentral:rRNA from 1 species
AUUGAACGCUGGCGGCAUGCUUUACACAUGCAAGUCGAACGGCAGCGCGGGCUUCGGCCUGGCGGCGAGUGGCGAACGGGUGAGUAAUGCAUCGGAACGUGCCCAGCAGUGGGGGAUAGCCCGGCGAAAGCCGGAUUAAUACCCCAUACGACCUGAGGGUGAAAGCGGGGGACCGAAAGGCCUCGCGCUCUUGGACCGGCCGAUGUCGGAUUAGCUAGUUGGUGGGGUAAAGGCUUACCAAGGCGACGAUCCGUAGCUGGUCUGAGAGGACGACCAGCCACACUGGGACUGAGACACGGCCCAGACUCCUACGGGAGGCAGCAGUGGGGAAUUUUGGACAAUGGGGGCAACCCUGAUCCAGCCAUGCCGCGUGCGGGAAGAAGGCCUUCGGGUUGUAAAGCGCUUUUGUUCGGGAAGAAAUCCUCUGGGCUAAUACCCCGGGGGGAUGACGGUACCGGAAGAAUAAGCACCGGCUAACUACGUG